GGCAAGCGUUGUUCGGAAUUACUGGGCGUAAAGGGCGCGUAGGCGGCCUGUUAAGUCGAACGUGAAAUCCCCGGGCUCAACCCGGGAACUGCGUCCGAUACUGGCAGGCUUGAAUUCGGGAGAGGGAUGCGGAAUUCCAGGUGUAGCGGUGAAAUGCGUAGAUAUCUGGAGGAACACCGGUGGCGAAGGCGGCAUCCUGGACCGAGAUUGACGCUGAGGCGCGAAAGCCAGGGGAGCAAACGGG
rnacentral:rRNA from 1 species